AUAAGGGCGUGUCUGCAACACGGAAGUAAACAAGACCUUCGGCGUCCAGUGUUGGCGCGAGAGCUUUCUACGCUUAUUUAUAUUCUUCCCAGUUUAAGUGUUUAACUGGGGCAGUCGAGUGGCCAGUGGGUCUGCAGAAUGGUGUGACUUCUGAUAAAAGCCGGUGCCUACGUGGCGCGGAAGAUCUCUUCCGUUGUCCGAGGGGACGAGCAGAAAGAUCAGCCUGUCCUCACACCAUGUAGCCUGGCAGCGAAUAAGCGUCAGAGUCAGAAGCGGUUAAAGGCGGAGGAGAUGUCUUCCCCAGACCUGGAUGAUGGCGCAGUGUGUGGGCCUUCCACAGACACUACAGUGCAGAAACAUAGCUCCUGAGGUUAAGGGUCACGCUGGUGUUACUGGGAGAAUAAAGCAACAUCCCUUGUGUAACAAAACAUUAUCCUCAACUUAUACUGACUCCAACUAAAAAUGCAUAUUUGUUACACAAGGGAAGUUAUUGAAGAGUGCUGACCAUUUAUUCCAACAAGAUGGUACAUACUGAUUACAGUUAUUAACUAAUAAUACGUAUUUGGGUCUGGCAACUUCCCAAUUACAUCUAUAUUGUUUCCAAUAAAAUACAAACAUUUUCAUUACAUUUAUUAACUAUUCCUUAAUGUGAUUAAAAUGUGGGCAAAACUAUUAAUAGUUGGUGCUUAAAAACCUUUGACACCCAAAUUACUGAUACACUGCUUGAUCUAUUACUUUUGAGCGCAUUCAUGGAAAAAAAACAGACUUUAUCAACCCAGUUUGUCCUGUGUGACUGAUGGAUUCUCUCUCUCUCUCUCUCUCUCUCUCUCUCUCUCUCUCUCUCUCUCUCUCUCUCAGCAGUAGAGUGUGAAGGUCUGUUCAUCAACCUCUGACUCAGGGACUGUUCAGAUCUGAGAUUUUCCUACCGCUGUCAUAUUUAUAUUUAAACAUUGCCUAUUGUAUGUAUACACAUUGCUUGGUAUUUUACAGUAAAGCCUGUUAAAAAAUAAAAUGGUUUAUAAUCAGUG